GGUCUGGCUGGCCGGUCCGCCUCACCGCGAGUACUGGUCCGGCUGGACCUUUCCUUCUGGGGAAUCUCAUGGCCUUCACUGGCUGUGGGGGGAACCAGGACUUUUACUGUGAAAAAAUUAGAGUGUUCAAAGCAGGCCUUUGCUCGAAUACAUUAGCAUGGAAUAAUAGAAUAGGACGUGCGGUUCUAUUUUGUUGGUUUCUAGGACCGCCGUAAUGAUUAAUAGGGAUCGUCGGGGGCGUCAGUAUUCAGCUGUCAGAGGUGAAAUUCUUGGAUUUGCUGAAGACUAACUACUGCGAAAGCAUUCGCCAAGGAUGUUUUCAUUAAUCAGGGAACGAAAGUUAGGGGAUCGAAGACGAUCAGAUACCGUCGUAGUCUUAACCAUAAACUAUGCCGACUAGGGAUCGGACGGUGUUUCUAUUAUGACCCGUUCGGCACCUUACGAGAAAUCAAAGUUUUGGGUUCUGGGGGGAGUAUGGUCGCAA
rnacentral:rRNA from 1 species